rnacentral:tRNA from 1 species
GGAGAAAUGGUCGAGUGGCUUAAGACACUCCUCUGCUAAAGGAGUAUAUAUUUAUUAUCGUAGGUUCGAAUCCUACUUUCUCUA